rnacentral:rRNA from 1 species
AGGGGAGUGAAAAAGAACCUGAAACCGUGUACGUACAAGCAGUGGGAGCACCCUUCGGGGUGUGACUGCGUACCUUUUGUAUAAUGGGUCAGCGACUUAUAUUCUGUAGCAAGGUUAACCGAAUAGGGGAGCCGGAGGGAAACCGAGUCUUAAUUGGGCGUUAAGUUGCAGGGUAUAGACCCGAAACCCGGUGAUCUAGCCAUGGGCAGGUUGAAGGUUGGGUAACACUAACUGGAGGACCGAACCGACUAAUGUUGAAAAAUUAGCGGAUGACCUGUGGCUGGGGGUGAAAGGCCAAUCAAACCGGGAGAUAGCUGGUUCUCCCCGAAAGCUAUUUAGGUAGCGCCUCGUGAAUUCAUCUCCGGGGGUAGAGCACUGUUUCGGCUAGGGGGCCAUCCCGGCUUACCAACCCGAUGCAAACUGCGAAUACCGGAGAAUGUUAUCACGGGAGACACACGGCGGGUGCUAACGUCCGUCGUGAAGAGGGAAACAACCCAGACCGCCAGCUAAGGUCCCAAAGUCAUGGUUAAGUGGGAAACGAUGUGGGAAGGCCCAGACAGCCAGGAUGUUGGCUUAGAAGCAGCCAUCAUUUAAAGAAAGCGUAAUAGCUCACUGGUCGAGUCGGCCUGCGCGGAAGAUGUAACGGGGCUAAACCAUGCACCGAAGCUGCGGCAGCGACACUGUGUGUUGUUGGGUAGGGGAGCGUUCUGUAAGCCUGUGAAGGUGUGUCGUGAGGCAUGCUGGAGGUAUCAGAAGUGCGAAUGCUGACAUAAGUAACGAUAAAGCGGGUGAAAAGCCCGCUCGCCGGAAGACCAAGGGUUCCUGUCCAACGUUAAUCGGGGCAGGGUGAGUCGACCCCUAAGGCGAGGCCGAAAGGCGUAGUCGAUGGGAAACGGGUUAAUAUUCCCGUACUUGGUGUUACUGCGAAGGGGGGACGGAGAAGGCUAUGUUGGCCGGGCGACGGUUGUCCCGGUUUAAGCGUGUAGGUGUGUGUUCCAGGUAAAUCCGGUUCACUUUAACACUGAGGCGUGACGACGAGGCACUACGGUGCUGAAGCAACAAAUGCCCUGCUUCCAGGAAAAGCCUCUAAGCAUCAGGUAACAUCAAAUCGUACCCCAAACCGACACAGGUGGUCAGGUAGAGAAUACCAAGGCGCUUGAGAGAACUCGGGUGAAGGAACUAGGCAAAAUGGUGCCGUAACUUCGGGAGAAGGCACGCUGACACGUAGGUGAAGUGAUUUACUCAUGGAGCUGAAGUCAGUCGAAGAUACCAGCUGGCUGCAACUGUUUAUUAAAAACACAGCACUGUGCAAACACGAAAGUGGACGUAUACGGUGUGACGCCUGCCCGGUGCCGGAAGGUUAAUUGAUGGGGUCAGCGCAAGCGAAGCUCCUGAUCGAAGCCCCGGUAAACGGCGGCCGUAACUAUAACGGUCCUAAGGUAGCGAAAUUCCUUGUCGGGUAAGUUCCGACCUGCACGAAUGGCGUAAUGAUGGCCAGGCUGUCUCCACCCGAGACUCAGUGAAAUUGAACUCGCUGUGAAGAUGCAGUGUACCCGCGGCAAGACGGAAAGACCCCGUGAACCUUUACUAUAGCUUGACACUGAACAUUGAGCCUUGAUGUGUAGGAUAGGUGGGAGGCUUUGAAGCGUGGACGCCAGUCUGCGUGGAGCCG